CCUCCGACUCGGUAUCCGAACCUACCGUCUCUCCCGCGGACGCGUCGCCCAGCUCGAGCGCCUUCGCCGCCGGUUCAUUCGUGUCCAUUUCAAAACAGCGGCGCACGAAAGCAGCCGAAAUUAUCCGAAGGACUGUCGAGGCGAGGUGCGCGUGCCUCACGAUUCGUAAAGGUAUGAAAGCGAGAUAAUGGCCUCCGAGUGUCUUUACUGGGGACGGAGAUCAACACAGGAAGGAGAGUAAGCGGAAAUUACCGAAUCAAAACGGAACUUGUCGAAAGAACACGACGUAGCACGAAACCACGCUCGAGAGCAGACGCGAUUUUCAGUCAACAGUACACAAAUGUAGAUUUUUUUUAUUAUUAUUUCGUUUUGCGACAUUAAUUGUAAUUAUUUUACAUUUUUAUUUCGAAGUAUUCGAAUUUUUUAUGACAUUAUAAGGAAGACUUGAGUUUCAUCAAAUAAAUUGAUUUGUUUAUUAAAUUUAUCAAAUUUAAUAAAGAAAAAUACUAUUAGUUUUUUUUACUAUUAGUUAUUAAUUUUUUUAUUGUAAAUUAUUAUUGCAGAGUACACUGUGAUCCAUGUAAUAAUAUUAUUCUUAAUAAUAAUAGUAUAAAUAUUGCAUUAUUAGAGUACAUGAUUACAAUAAAAUGUAUUUGAAUAUACUGGAAAUAACUUUUUUUUUAUAAUUUAUUUAUUCAAGUCUCGAUUAAGAUUUCUGGAUGUGGAUAUUAAUAGCUGAUGGUCUGUUUAUUUGUUUACCUCUGUUUGUAAUUUAUUACCUGGAAUAAGUUGUGAGCUAUCUUGUUAACAUGCAGUUAAUGCACUGUGAGUCAACAUGAACUACACACUGUAUUUUCAUUAACAAAGAUUAAUAAAUAUGUAAUAAAUGUAUUAUUCAUUGUUUGUUAAUGCAUUAACUAAUGGAACCUUAUCAUAAAGUGAUUUGAUUCAUUA